ensembl:lncRNA
CCCAGAGAAAGGACCAAGUUCCUUAGGUCGGGUUGGAGUCCCAGAGAAAGGACCAAGUUCCUUUAGGUCGGGUUGGAGUCCCAGAGAAAGGACCUCGUUCCUUUAGGUCGGGUUGGAGUCCCAGAGAAAGGACCUAGUUCCUUUAGGUCGGGUUGGAGUCCCAGAGAAAGGACCAAGUUCCUUUAGGUCGGGUUGGAGUCCCGACGUGGGUUCCUUUGGUUCGUGGUUAGUGUUAUGUUGUUUUGAUUCCUGCCGUGGAAUCACAGAUAUUGGUUGUGUUGAAUCUGAGAGGAACAAAAAGUGAGCCAUCAUCUGGUGUUGGCAUACCGAGCUCCGUGGGAGACGUUUCCAAGUUCUGUCCGGGUUAGAGUCCUAGAAUCUGGAUUGGAGUCCCAGAGAAAGUACCUUUAGGUCGGGUUGGAGUCCCGACUUGGGUUCCAGAGAGACUGUUGAUCUGAUCUUAAAUACAUUGCACUUUCAAUUUUACUUACUUAAAAAGCCUUUUUAACUUUCAAUUUAAUUGUCUAUUUUUACCAGAAAGAUACAUGAUCUGAUACCAGAGAGAAAGGAUAAGGGUUACUAGAAUCCUGGUUGGAGUCCCAGAGAAAGUACCAAGUUCCUUUAGGUCGGGUUGGAUACCAGAGAGACUGUUGAUGUGAUCUUAAAUACAUUGCACUUUCUAUUUUACUCAUUUCUUUGCAUAUGUUUUCUUUUACUUAUCUAUUAUUUUAUUUUAUUGUAUGACAAUGUUUAUAUGUGAAGCAAUUUGAGUCUGCCUUGUGUAUGAAAAGUGCUAUAUAAAUAAAGUUGCCUUGCCUUGCCUUACUAGUAGCCAAACAUUAACUUGACUUAACACCAAAAUCAAAUUGAUCAGCCACUGUCAGAAUUGAUGGAUACGAAAAUUGAAUUUUUUAUACAAAAUCUAGGUUUGCUUUCACUUUG